rnacentral:lncRNA from 1 species
GGCAGGCAGCAGUCUCGCCAAGACGGCGAUUACUCUCCAGACAACUCAGCCCAGCCGGGGGACAGGGUCAUUUGCUUACAGGUCCAUGGUGAUGCUUCUUUCUGUGGUCAAGGGAUUGUUCCUGAAACAUUCACGCUGUCCAAUCUCCCACAUUUCAGAAUUGGUGGGAGUGUGCAUUUGAUUGUUAAUAACCAGCUGGGUUACACCACUCCAGCUGAAAGAGGAAGGUCUUCUUUAUACUGCAGUGAUAUUGGGAAGCUUGUGGGCUGUGCCAUCAUCCAUGUCAAUGGAGACAGCCCAGAGGAAGUGGUCCGUGCCACACGACUGGCUUUUGAAUACCAACGCCAGUUCCGCAAGGAUGUGAUUAUUGAUCUGUUGUGCUACAGGCAGUGGGGCCACAAUGAGCUGGAUGAGCCAUUCUACACCAACCCCAUCAUGUACAAAAUCAUCAGGUACAAUUAUAAACCCUUGUGUGAUAUGCC